rnacentral:lncRNA from 1 species
AUGGUAUUUGUUUACUCCCUGUAUUAUGGAACACCUAAAAAUAUGGUCUCUCAUUUUACACUAUUCUCAUCUUGCCAAUUCCAUCAGAUAAAUAAAUCAAUAAAAAAAAAUACAGUGAGUUUCAAAAUACACCCUGGAAUAUCAUGGAUUUUAAAAUUAAUAGUGUUAAAUAAGUUGCGACUCUAAAAGAAGUUAUCAUGUCUACAACACAUCCUUUGACUGAGACCGUCCGACUAUUCUGCUGUGAAAGCAAAGACAGCAGGAAGUGUCGAAUUUUCGAAAUUGAGUUUCCUUCAAAAUGCGUCUGAUCUAUUUUAGAUGAAAUCACUAAAAUAGCUGAAACAGCAAAAUUCAUCUUAAUUGUACCAAGAUGAGACAUGUGAGAAAGCCAUAAGUGCGCAAAAAAUUACAUAGUUUCAGGCAAGGCAACAGUAAGUGACAAUAUUCCUCCAGAGAGCUAAUGAAAACAGUGCUUUCAAGUGAAGUGCCGUCCUCAGAAAAAUAGAAUUCUAGAAAUAGGCAAGAAUAAUGAUUUUCCGGAACAAACCCAAUUAAAGUUAGAUUCAAAAAUAAAGAGAGAGAACAACCUUGGAGGUAUUAUAAGCACAUUCACAUUUAUUAAUUGAGAAAGUCCGAAAAAUUAAGCCAUUACCUAUCCUUGGUACGCCUCAAUUUUCAAAGAAUCUGCAAAGUGCAAUAUCAGUCUCAGUUUCAAUAAUCUGUUAAUUUUGACUAUAUAAGCAUUUUAAUAACCCCUAUAGGAUAACAAGCUAGACUUAGAGAAAGGUGGUAUUUAUAAGAUUAAGGGGAAAAACAGCUUGGGGUUUUAUGCAAGGAAAACAAAUUGUACCCUACAACUAGGGUACCCAGGCACAUGAGAAAUAUCAAGAUAGGACAGUGCAUUUUUGGGGGAAAAAACAUGACGAGGGGCUCACCUUUAAACUACUCAAAGAGACGAACUAUGAAAAAGGACUAACAUGUGGCGGAGAAUUUUACAUACACAAAAAGAGAACAUUACUUUUGAUCAAGGGAUCUACCUGCCCAAUACAUUAUUCAGAGCACUUGAAAAUAAUGCUAACAUAGUGGAGAACAUCCAAGAUACUGAAUCAGUUAAAUGGGCCUAAUGAUAGCUGCAGGGCAGAGACAUGCCACUGAGACAUACAUUUUUUUAGAAAAUGAGUUCGAGGUUUUGUUUUUAUUUAAUUUUACGAAAUUUUUUUACAGUUUUGCAUUUGUCUACUUAUGAGUUACUCAAGUCCUAUAGCUUAUUAUACAUAAAAAAAUAAUUAAAAAUUUUGAAAAUAUUGAUAUGCUUGGUGAAGAGGGUUACAAAACAUCGAAUUACUAUGGAGAACUACUUUAAAUAAGGUUUAUAUGGCACUACCCUCUAUCCUUUGGACAUAGAGCAGCUGCAAAUGAGAAAAGUAGGAAGUAAAGCUUAUGUACCUUAUCAGAAGCAGCUCAUUGAAAUCACUGUAGAACUGGUGAGAGUCUUCUGUACCAAACAAGAGAGUUUUCCACAAAUUGAGGGCUUCUUCUUCAAGAUGUUUUUUGGAUUUAAUGGUUUCUAGAUUCGCUUCAGAUAACAUAACUCUGAGACCUUGUUCUUCUAGCUCAUACUCUUUCAGCUUAGCAGUCCACAUUUGUUUAAGAUUUUCUGUGAAGGAAAAAUUAAAAUUACAAAGCUGGAAAAAAUCAGUCUAAAACUAUUAUUUUUGAGAGCAAAUCCUAAAUCUUCAUGAAACUUUGAUGAUACCUUGAAAUUUUCGAUCAGGCACACAACAGCUACUGUAAUUUACUCUUCAUCAUUUACUUUUCUACCAUGUUGACUGCCGGACCUUUUUACCUUAGGUAAUGAUACUCUUCACGAUGAUGCUGCAUAUUCUUCAUUUAUUUUCCCUCAAAAUUCUUUGAUCUCAGAAACCUCCGUUUUGCAUCACGAUAGUUUCCCUGCCUUGCAAAUUACGUUCGCUGAAGGCACGGUCAAACAUUUAACCUUGGGCCAGCCAAACUCUUCGGUAUUUAAAUGCCCAACUCAAACCUGAAAUACCAUCCAUAAAUAUGUACCUAGGUAUUUUUGGCUGCUGAAACCGAAUAAGACUUACAUUCAUUUCUAGUUAGCAUGCAUAAGUUUUUUGAUAAGUUGUGUUGUCUCUGGAAAAUCCUGUUUCAGUUGUUUUAUCAAUUUUCAAGCUAUCAUAAACGUAGGGCAUUUUAUUUUCAAUGCAAUUUCAUUAAGAAUCCUCAUUCCAGACCCUUGCCUCAUAUGAAAUUUGUUUUUGUUAACAUGCGUCUUUGAAUGCCUCAAUAAGGCUCUCAAAAACCUAUGUGAAUUUAUACAAAGAAUAACAGCACAACGUCAAUAAUGAUCACUCAGACAUAAGAUAGAAACCUCUCUAUUUGGCGGCGGGGGGGGGGGGGGGGGGGGCAAACUAUGAGAUGAGAUGGAGGGCUGCUUUUUCAAAGUAAAACCAGGAGGAAAAACUUCUGAUCAACUU